AGCUAUUUUUGGGCCGGCUAAUGUUGUGGUAAUGUUAUUUCAACCUGCUAGCUAGCAGAUAGAUGAUGCUAAUCUUAGCUGUGGUAAUGUCAUUUCUACCUGCUAGCGAGCUAAAUCUGGUUAAAACAUUAGGUAACAAAGUAAGAUUAAUUACUGCAGAUUAAUCACUGUAUUUGAGUGAUUGUUAAUGGUUAGUGGUUAUCUUUCAAAUGAUGCCUGUGAGGCACUUGACGUUGAGACUGGUUGACUUCCAGGCUGCUUUGGAAUAAGGAUACCUCUGAGGCAGCCACCAGUUUUUGGAUAACUCUGAGGCAUCAUAGGUAGUGUUGACUACUUUAUAUCAAUAAAUAACUACUUUAAAGACUACUUUAUAUCAAUAAAGAACUUCAGAAAGCCAGCUCCAAACUAUUACACCCCAGUGUCAAUAAGUGUUUCAUUGUCACAUUGGUAUGUGCAUCAAAUCUGAAUUUAAUACUGUGUUCGUGUCAUGAUAUGUCUUUCCCAUUUUUGUUAAGGCGAAGCCAAGGACCUGUGCUCCUCCGUCGGUGCUCUGGCUGCCAGGAGCAUCGAAUUUAAAGAAGUGGCCAUGCUGCCGGCAUCAGACCCCACUGUGGCCACAGGGAGAGCCACGGAGUUCAAACAACAGCUCCAGCACCUCGCCAACCAGGUGAGGUCAAAUGAGCAAUUUGACCUCCUCACGCACACCUUGGGGCCAGGAAUGGUAGAGGUGGUGGUGGAUAUUUUUUAAAAGUGUG